UCGCCUGCGGCAGGGGCAGAGGGGACGUCCGAGAGUGCUCUGCUGUCCCUGUGGGUGUCUGGAAUCCUGCCAUUUCCCCUCACCCCCCCCCCUGUCUUUGCCCUGCGCCCGGGCCCCCCAGGGCUGUGUCUGGAGCAGCCACAUUUUCCAAACUGAAAGGAGACUUGUGUCUAGUGACAGGAGGGUCAUUAACAGACCCUGCCUGGGAAGGAAGACCCGGAAGGGUAGUGACUUCCUUGGGGGCCAGAGGUGAAAGGCGCCCAGCAUCCACAGGACAGACCCUCGGGUUAGCACCUUGCUGUGGCCCCCCUGCCAGUGUGGGUCUGCCCUCAACCAGGAUCUGACUUCUGAUCUCUGUGGGGGUGGGGACUGAAUAAUGAUGAGGGACUCACUUCCCAGCCCUGUGCCACAGCAGUGGCAGUGGUGAUAACCACAGUCACUGCAGUGCAUUGUGUCAGGUGCUGAGCUAAGUAAGCACCUCCUGAGCAUCCUUCCCUCUCAUCUUCUCAACAAACUUCUUCUUCUUGUCCCCCCCUCCCCCGCCCCCACUUUGGUCUUUUAAGGCAGGGUUUGCUAUGCAAUUCAGCCUGGGCUUGAGCUCACUUUGUAGCUAGAGCUGGCCUGGAAUUCACAGCAGCCCCCCCCCCCCCCCUCAGUCUCCCAAGUGCUGGGAGGACAGGCAUGUGCCACCGCACCUGGCUCUUUCAACAACCUUCUGAACCCGGCUGGGCCGGUGACUGAGGGCCCAGGGGACUUAAAUGUCUCCUGCAAGGCAGCAGAGCUACCGUAGUCAGUGGCCGAGUGGCUGCCCUAGAACCCCUACUCUCAGGUGGGAGGCUUGCUCCGGGCCAGUCUCCUUCCGGGAAUGCAUCCCCAGGUCUCUCCCUGGUCUGCUCUGAUCCCACCAACUCCCACACCUCUCACCAGUGUGGUCUCUCCAGGCACCAUCAGGGGCGCCUGUGGGAAGCCACCUGAGAUGGCGCCCAUUUCCUGCUUCCGGGUUCUUCCCGGCCUGAACAAGCCCGCCAAAUUGUCAUAUCUGCCCAGUUACCCGUGACGCUAGCCUAUCAGCUUGUUAGGCGCGCUUCUCUGUGAUUGGAUACUGCUUCCCCUUAUAAGAGGUUGUUCCUGCCCCCAACGGCGGAAGAGGAAUCAACACCGAGGGUGGCGGACCUUGUCAGGUCCGGUUCGCUGUACGUAAUAAAGUUUGAGAGCUGAUCCUGCUCGAGUUUGGUCUCCUGUCUCCCGCGGCUCCGGUCAUCUGGUGGCCGCCCGUACGGGGAAAAAGGUAAAAGACUCAGCGACGUGCCUCUUCGGCCGGGAGGUGCGAUUGCUGUCGCCUGCGGUACGACGGAGGACCUGGCUCAAUAACAACGGAAGGCCGCGAGCGCCUCUUCUCUUCACCCUGAUCAGCUACGUGAGAUACAGCGGUUCCCGGGACAGGAACCAGGCUGCGAACCGCUGUGGGUCCCGGAAAGAUUGACGCGAGCAGUAAACUCCCCACCAGUUCCUGAUAAAGCACAGGAAGAUAAGCCCGCGGACACAAGUCAACUCGACCCUUCUGGGACCGACGCUCAGCGCCCAAGACCAUCUACAAACUAAAAUGUCUGGUUUGGAGCUUUUUCUAUUCUGUGGGUUCCUAUUAAUCACCCCUGUGAUAUGCUCAGAUUCCACAGAACCACCACAAUAUCUUUGGGGUCCUUGGCACUACCCGCCCACAUUGGCACCUUUUUCGGCGGCCUCGCCCGCCUCACCCAGGGUUUACACCAUCAAUCAAACAGUCCUUGAUUAUGCUAAUUGCCAUGGCUAUCCUAGUAGAGCUUGUGGUUAUUAAAUGCUUGUUAGAUCGCCUCAUACAAACUCAGCAGCAGGUUAAGAUCACAGCUAUGGCAGCCAUGCAAAUGGCAGCAGGUGGCCCAUCAGGCCAGCAGGCCGCCGCAUAUCUCCUUCACAUUGCAGAACAUCAGCUAUAAGAGCUGAGUGGGCAAGCCAAUGACGGGUAAGACGGGAAAAGCCCUCCCAGUCAACCUAAGACAGGCUCCACUCAGAUAUAUAUGGCCUAUAAGGCCAGGGGUCCCUCCUGGAGCCAAAUUAUUGGCAUUGAGAUGCGAGACCAAGGGUACUGCAGUGCCAUCCGCCCCAAAGGUUGGGGGGAAGGCAGGAAUGAAUGUCUAUAUGCAUCCAGGUUCAGUUCACAAAAGCCUGGCCCUGCGAAAAAAUGAACCACUCACCUUGAGCAUGGUCCUGGCGCAAGGAUAUGCACAAAACAGGGUGAUGCACAGCAGGGUAUAGACCUCUACAUUCUCUCAUGCCUCGGCCUACAAGGUAGGCCCACUCCUAGGUGUCUAACAGCAACAAGGUCAUAGACACCUUGGAGGGACCCACAGACCAUCCUAUUUUAAUAAAUAAAAAAGGGGGAGAUGUGGGAAGCCACCUGAGAUGGCGCCCAUUUCCUGCUUCCGGGUUCUUCCCGGCCUGAACAAGCCCGCCAAAUUGUCAUAUCUGCCCAGUUACCCGUGACGCUAGCCUAUCAGCUUGUUAGGCGCGCUUCUCUGUGAUUGGAUACUGCUUCCCCUUAUAAGAGGUUGUUCCUGCCCCCAACGGCGGAAGAGGAAUCAACACCGAGGGUGGCGGACCUUGUCAGGUCCGGUUCGCUGUACGUAAUAAAGUUUGAGAGCUGA